GAAAAGCCCCCAAAAGAGGAAGGCGGGGGGGGGGCAAGGAGAAAGAGCGACCGAGACGGGCUUGCCACACCCAGGGCGAAACUGGCGCGAGCGAGCGCACCUGGGCGGAGGAAGGGCCGCGUUGGCGCAGAGGAUCUGGUCGAAAAGUUCCCAGGUGCUCGCCCUCGAACCGCUCCUUAACCCAGCCCGGCCGGACUUUUACUUCGGCCAGCAUUAUUAUUAUUAUUAUUAUUAUUGUUAUUAUUAUUAUUAGUUCAGUGAUAUCCGCGGAACUCGGUGGGGGACUUCCUUGCGAGCAAGCGUGACCCGGAUCGGGCUGCAAGAACUGGGGAGGAAGCAAAAUAUUACCCCUCGGUGGCACGAAUACAGUGUAGCCCCGUGGAUUAACCACGAGGCCAAUAAAGGGGCCAUAUAGAGUUUAACCUUAGGCGCUUCAGAUUUUUAGACUUUUCGGUUUCCUGGGUCAGCCGCGGAUAUUCGCCCGGUGACCUUGGGCCACUCACUCCCUAUUAGUCUUCUCUUCCUCCCGGUGCUUGUUUCUUUUGAGGGGGAAUCCAGGUACAGUACAUAGAAAACCGUGUCGUGAGCCAAGACAUCAUUCAUGCCUUUGCCACAGCCAGGGAAAGGAGCAUUGUGGAUUAUUUGUGCUUUGACGAUUUUCUCCUCAGAAUCAUAAGAGUUGGAAGGGUCAUCCAGUCCAACCCCCUGCAAUGCAAGAAUCUCUUGCGCAAGGAGUACAGCUGGCAAUGAAGGAUUUACCGGUAUGCAGAGACCACAGGAGUUCCACAUGCUUGACUUGAGUUUUGAUUUAGGACAGCAAGGAAUGUGAGUAGAAAGAUGGGGAGGGAACUAGCUCUCCUGGGUACUCGAGAACUCGUGGCAGGAUUGGUUGCCAGACACCUUUUUGGCAUAAGCAAUAAAGUGCUUUGUGGGACGCGGGUGGCGCUGUGGGUUAAACCACAGAGCCUAGGGCUUGCUGAUCAGAAGGUUGGCAGUUCGAAUCCCUGGGACGGGGUGAGCUCCCGUUGCCCGGUCCCUGCUUCUGCCAACCUAGCAGUUCGAACGCAUGCAGUGCAAGUAGAUAAAUAGGUACCAUUCUGACGGGAAGGUAAACAGCAUUUCCGUGCGCUGCUCUGGUUCGCCAGAAGCGGCUUAGUCAUGCUGGCCACAUGACCCAGAAGCUGUACGCAGACUCCCUCGGCCAGUAAAGCGAGAUGAGCGCCGCAACCCCAGAGUUGUCCGCAACUGGACUUAACUGUCAGGGUCCCUUUGCCUUUAAAUAAAGUGCUUAAAGAGCAACAUAUUUGAUUUGUUGUAGCAGAAUCUUUCGUGGACCACAGCCCACUUCAUCAGAUGCAUGAAGCACAGUCUUCAUUUAAGAUGCAUGUACUGUGUAGUGUAAAGCAGGGGUCAACAACCUUUUUCAGCCCUGGGCUGGUCUACCAUCCCUCAGACCAUGUCGUGGGCCAGACUAUAUUUUGAAGAAAAAAAAUGAACUAAUUCCAAUGCCCCACAAAUAACCCAGAGAUGCAUUUUAAAUAAAAGCACACAUUCUGCUUAUGUAAAAACACCAGGCAGGCCCCACAAAUAACCCAGAGAUGCAUUUUAAAUAAAAGCACAAGUUCUACUCAUGUAAAAGCAUGCUGAUUCCUGGACCGUCCGUGGGCCAGAUUUAGAAGGCGAUUGGGCCACAUCCGGCCCACGGGUGAUCUCUGGUGUAAAGGGUAGUGGGAGGGAUGUGUGUACAGGCAGUAUAAAAUACACACACAUGACACAUACAGAGAGAUAACAUAAGAAGAAUCUUCUGAGUAUCUUUCUUCCACCACGGGAGUAACGACAGUCAUCCUCUUUUCGAUGAGGUUUCUGGGACCAGAACAUUAUUCACCACCUCUGCGGGAGGAAGAUAAAUUUAGCAGUUUAUUAGAUCAGAAACAUUCUACUAGUUUCCUGGGAGGAGUGGGCUGGGAUUUGGCUUUUUGAAGAACAAGGAAGGGGGGAGCUGUAUGAGCCCCCUGGAGAGUGCAAACUAUCCACCUGCCUGGGCAUGACAAUGAGUCAUUGAAAUGGACAAAGCUGAGAGAUCCGGCCCUUUCAGAUCUCCUGAGGUUGGUUUGGGGGGGAGCGAGGAGGAAGGGCAGAACAAGGUGGGGAAAGUUAGGAGGGGGAUGGGAGGGAGAGUCACCACUUUUUAAACUGGGAAGAGCUCCUGCGCCUUUAACAGCAACUGCCUGCGAGGCAGAAAAUCAACCCGCUGAGAUUUCCCCAGUCCCUGCGGAUGCAGUGCAAGGAAAACUUUCACCACGUUGAUCUUCUGCCUUGCAUGCAGCUUGUUAGGUCACUGAACCUAGGGAAGCAUGCACACCUAGUUGAGAUCAAGGGAUUUCCCUGUCCUAGGCAAUCUGCUCAUGGCCACUGUAGCUACAUUUUCAUGAUCAUCCUUUGCUGCCCCCUGUGGAACUCUCUCCCUGAACCUUAUGACAGUCUUCGGCAACCAAUGUUCCAGGUUGCAACUCCUAUCAGCCCCAGCCAGCAUGUUAUUAAUUUCUGAAAAGUUGGACUUGCAACAGAAUGUUGCAGCGUGUCCUUUCUCACUGACCUAGGAAUGGUCCUGGUCAGGAUUCCUUGUCAGAACAGAGGCUUUGCUCUCAAACCUGGAAGUUCACAGUUCUUUGUCAGUUGCUCUCAAACCUGGAAGUUCACAGUUCUUUGCUGCUGCUGCUACUACUGCUGUUGUUUCCUCCUCCUCCUCCUCCUUUGCAAAGCUCAACACUUGGAGGCACUUACAGGACCACCUAGGUGUGUAGAAGUUACCCUAAUUUUGGGUGGCUGUUUUGAAAUGGAUAGGCACUGAACCAUCUGGGUUCACUAUUAGAGGGAUUGGUGAUAACAGCAACUUUCUCUGGGGAUUCUGGGCACUUCCCAUUAUAAUAAUAUCUGAUCUUAUAUUGGGCAUUGGUUUCAGAAGCACACACACACAAGCGUGUGUUUGCACACAUACAUAUGGUGUGAUUGCACCUACACUUCAGACAGUAUCACAUUGCUUUUUUUCCUCCCUGAUUCCCCAACUCACAAAUGCGCCUUUAAGUCCUGGAGCACUUAUUUCCGGGUAGUUUCAUAAAUGACUAUUCUGAGUUUCAAUGUGAAGGUAAACACCUUCUAGACAUUUAUGUUUGUCUUGGUUAAAUAUAUAUUCAUUGAUGGUUGUUGUUUUUUGCAAGGAAAUUCUACAAGAUGUUUUUAUAACCUUUGGUCUUAUGGAGGGUUUUUAUUGCUCAUUUUAUUGUUUUCGUUUCCUUUUGUGUAAACAUCACUUCCAAAGCCCGGGCUGAUGUGUAAAUAAACUAAGAAGUGUGGGCUGAGGUGAAAUCAGGCGUCCACAAAGAAAUUAAUGCAAUAUUGGCAUGUGAUGUUCAAUAUGGCUUCUGUCCUGAGCUGGGUUCCUAUUUCGUAGGGAUGUCCAACCAAUAGAUCGUGAUCUAAUGGUAGAUUUCCCAGCUGAUCCUGGUAGAUCACGGGAUCCUUAUUGUGUACAAAAAGUUAUGGGGAAAAAGCUAAAAAACUGUGCAAUCCUCCUCAAAAAAGCUCAACAACUCUGAGCAAUCCACCCACCCAAAACAUGCUCUUCCUCCUUCCAAUGACAAUGGGUAGAUCACUGCCAGUUUUUCUUAUACUGGGAGUAGAUCACAGUCUCAUGGGAGUUGGAUAUGCCUGCGUGACAUCAACAGGUUCCCAUCACUGUGUCUGAGAAGAACUGGAAGGAAGGAAGUCCAAGAGAGGCCUGGCUGAAAGGCUCAGCCUCUUUUCUUUGGCCCCACCCCUGGCCGGCCGGUCAUUGUCCUACCUGGCCGAGGGCGAGUCAAAGGCCAGCCUAAGCAGGUGGGUGGCACCCGCCCUGGUAUGCCCUGCUUGGUGCCGCAAACCCCGCCCACCUGUGUGGAAGGGAGGGCGGAAAAAAAUGACAUGGGGGGGGGAGAGAGAGAGACAGCCAAAAGACAGUUUGUGUAUGUGGUGAAUCACAUUAGUUAAUGAACUCCUGGGUUACAAAAUUAACUGGAAACAGAAAGCUACAACACCAGGCAAAGGGAUGGACACUACAACCAUUGUCCCUAAUAUGCUCUUUAAAAAAAGCCUGCAUGGAUUUUAUUAUUCUUAUUAAAUGUGGGAAGCAUUUAAAAGUGUAUCUCCCAUCUGAUACCAACCCUAUUAUUAAAGCAGAGGGAGGAGGCUGCCUCAGGCAGCUGAUUUUGAGGUCCAUGAAAGAGCAGUCACCAAAUUUAUUCUUACAUUUAUUUCCCAGGAGAGGUAUUUGUGGAAUUUUCUGUCUAAGGUGCCAAAAUGGCAUAGCCUUGGGUGUUAAUAGUACAGUAUACGCCUUGAACUGAGGAAGGGGGCACCAUUUGCUAUGGAGGAAAUGGGCCUUGUAUAUAGGGAAGCCCCAGGUUCAAAUGCCUGAUAUUUCUACUGUUAUAAGAGUUAAAAGGGGUCCUUUUCUGGGAGGGAGCCUGGACCUCUGGCAGAGCACAAUUGAAAGCCCUUACCAGCUACCGGUAGUAAAAUGGCAGAGACCAGACCAGAAUUCUAGUGAAAAGCAAGGCGGCUAGUUAAGCUUGAUCUUUAUUAAAAAUUGUUGCAACAGGGUGUUUCCCCCUCCCCACACACAGGAAGGUGGGGGAGAGACCCAGAACAAAGGUGUGCAAGCUCUUAUAUAGAAAAUUUUAAAUUGCCCGCCCUGGAGUCCAAGACCGCCCCCAGAAACAUCACAGAUACAUCACAGAAGAGGCGGUCUACAACAGAAAUCUGAGUGCAUUGUUUUUAUCAUGCCUGGCAGGUUACCUGUUAAUGGUCAUUUGACUGGAUUACCUGGGGAGCCUGGCCAGUCUUUUGUAAUGAUAAAUGCUUACCAGUAGUUCCUGAGCCAGGUCACAGGCUUACACCCUAUUCAUAUCUUAAAUGUGCCCUUAAGACAGGAUUUGUGAGGAAAGAGACAAUGGGGAGGUUUCCCACUUUGACCUUGCAGAGAAAUAAUUGAGGUCAAUUUGUUCAGGACUUUUUUUUUCUGUGAAGUUUCAGACAUGUGGUUUAUAUAUACAGUUAUGAACAUUUAUCUUUUAUAUAUAUGUGAUCUUAAAAUUCUUAUAACACUACUCAGAGAGGUAAAGGUAAAGGGACUCUGGACUUAAUGGUGUUAGCAAAGGCUGUUUAGAUAGUAGUGUAGUUUUACUUCAGUUACUUUAAGUGUAUCUCACAGGGGCCUCCCUCCUUUGAUGGUAAUGGCCCAUUUCACAUGCCACAGUAAACUGUAGUUAAUGGUUUACCCUAAACCCAAAGGUGGCUCCUGGUUCACUCCUUCCCUACUGCAAGCAAGGACAACGAUCCAAGAUUACUGGCUUUGAGUUACAUCCGAAUUGGGAAUAGGUAGUGGUUUGUUUUGCUCAGACAAACCAUGAUAGAUAAGCCAAGAGCAAUCCUUGACGGCCACAUUGGGGCUUGUUUGGAAUGAAAGAAGCCACAAUCCCCAGUUCAGAAACUGGGCUAAGCCAGUGAUUGAUUGCUCCUGCCUGAGCAAAAUGUAGAUCGAAAGGAGAGUGUGUUCACAGUUAGCCAUUGACUACUGUUUACCUUAUGUGUGAAUGUAGUCUUAUUCGCAUAAAACACUCAGACAAACCAUGCCUACAUGUAAAUGAGCAAGCAUGAACGAGCAAGAACAAACCUUGGAUACAGCUCAAGGAUUGUUUGGAGUGAGACAAACCAUGAGCCCAGGUUUGCACAUACAGUGGUGCCUUGAUUACCAAACGCAGCUUCUCCAACCUUUUGCUAAUUGCUAUAGACCAGGCACGUCCAACAGGUAGAUUGUGAUCUACCAGUAGAUCACUGGACAUCUGUGGUAGGUCACUGGGGGCCCCCAAGAAGCUCAACAAGUUUGGCUCCCCCCCAAAAAAGCUCAACAUUUUUGCCCUGGACCCCUAAAAAACGUGGCUUUCCCCUCCCUCCCUAUAAAAAGUUCAACAAUUUCAACCUGAACCGCCCAAGAAUGGGCCUUUCUCCUUCCUAAAAAAAAGCAAAAAAGCUCAUCAACUUUGACCUGAACCCCCCAAAAGGGGGUAGAUCACUGCCAGUUUUAACUCUGUGAGUAGAUCGCUAUCUCUUGGAAGUUGGCCACCCCUGCUAUAGACCAAGAGUGAGGAGCCUGUGCCCCCCCCCAUAUUAUCAGUCUCCAACUCCAAUCAGCUCCAGACAGUCAACCAAUGGUCAGGGUUGAUGGGAAUUGUGGUCCAGCAACAUCUGCAGGGCCAUCAAAUAUCUGAAAGGUCACACCUUCAGCACCUCUGUUCAAAAUGUUGGCAAUGAACCACCAGAAGGCAAAAGUUACUUUAAGUGUAUACGCAUAGCAGACAAAAAAUUUCCAGAAACCAAGACUGCUUUCGAUAAAUAGGAGCAGAGCACAUGCUUCAUUUUGUGAGUGAGUCCUGUUGCGUCACAGUCCUUGCCUCUAGGGGUGAGAGACAGUUGUUCCAGGAUGUUGUUUUGAAAAGCCUAGAGCCAACCCCCCCCAGCUGGGCUGAAUUGUCAGCAACUCAGAGCUGACCAUGAGUCAGUUAUUUGGAGCCGAGUCAAACCUGAGUAUCGAGGAACUAGUUUAUAUAGGAUGACAUGUUCCUUUACACAAUCAGCACACAACCCAGGUCACUGUGGAAGUCCAAGUGGGCUGUGUGCCAUCGUGCUCUGGGGAGGCUGUUGUGUGCGAGAGAACGAGGACGAGGGAGCCUUUCAAUGAGGAAAGGUGAGGCGGUUGCCUCAGGUGCUAGAUUCUGGGAGCCAUUAAGAGUGGCAGAAGGGGAGACAGAUCCUUCUUGAUCCACAUAAAGCAGCCACAGAAGCCUGCCAUUUUGAACAGAGGAGCUGUUGUUCGGGAGGGACUGCUCUUUCAUGCUAUUUUUUCUGUUCAUCAAUAUGGCUCCCAUGUUGGUUCCCCCCCUGCCUCUGGGUGCCAGGUGCAAAACUCUCAAAAAUGCAUCUGGAACCUUAUAAAUGCUGUGCACAUGUUGAAACGGUGCAAAGCUUACUGGAUGGCCUCGGGCCGUUCACUAUCUCUCAUAUUAACCCACCCCAUAGGUGUCUUUGGAAGACAGUGCAUGUGGACCAUGUAUGCCACAAUAGCACUUUGGAGGAAGUGCAGAAUCAGAAUAAAUAAGUUAUUUAAAAAAAAAAAACAUGCCAGGGACAUGAUAUCCUUCCCUUUU